rnacentral:tRNA from 1 species
UGCGCCUGUAGUUCAGUGGUAGAACGUCCGCCUUAUAAGCGGAAAGUUGGAAGUUCGAUUCUUCCCAGGCGCAU